rnacentral:rRNA from 1 species
GAUGAACGCUGGCGGCGUGCCUAAUACAUGCAAGUCGAGCGAACGGACGAGAAGCUUGCUCCUCUGACGUUAGCGGCGGACGGGUGAGUAACACGUGGAUAACCUACCUAUAAGACUGGGAUAACUUCGGGAAACCGGAGCUAAUACCGGAUAAUAUUUUGAACCGCAUGGUUCAAUAGUAAAAGACGGUCUUGCUGUCACUUAUAGAUGGAUCCGCGCUGCAUUAGCUAGUUGGUAAGGUAACGGCUUACCAAGGCAACGAUGCAUAGCCGACCUGAGAGGGUGAUCGGCCACACUGGAACUGAGACACGGUCCAGACUCCUACGGGAGGCAGCAGUAGGGAAUCUUCCGCAAUGGGCGAAAGCCUGACGGAGCAACGCCGCGUGAGUGAUGAAGGUCUUCGGAUCGUAAAACUCUGUUAUUAGGGAAGAACAUAUGUGUAAGUAACUAUGCACAUCUUGACGGUACCUAAUCAGAAAGCCACGGCUAACUACGUG